rnacentral:rRNA from 1 species
AAGAGUACGUGAAACCGUUCAGGGGUAAACCUGUGAAACCCAAAAGAUCGAAUGAGGAGAUUCAUCGUCAGCGUAUUCAGUAUUAAUGCAGGCCAUGAUGUGAUAAUAGAAUCCUCGUGGUCACUAGAUUAUACUUGCUUGUAUUAUUUUUGCUGGGUAUGUCGGCGUGCACUUCUCCUCUAGUAGAACGUCGCAACCCGUUUGAUGUUUAUCUAUGGCCUAAAUGGUAGUCUUUGAUAUUUUAUUGUAUUGAAAACCUUUGGUGUCCUGAUAAACUGUCUGACGGUAUACAAAUGGUAUUGAGCCGCAAUUAUUUGCGUUAGACUUGUCGCAAGUAUGACUUUAUUCUGGCAGUGCGGAUCUAAUGCCGUCGCUGGUCAAAGUCUGCUGUUAGCUGUGUAAUGUCUUUAACUGGCUUAUUUACUGGUUAGCGAUGCUACUGCUUUGGGUAC